ACGAUGAACCACUUCGGUGGGGAUUAGUGGCGAACGGGUGAGUAACACGUGGGCAAUCUGCCCUGCACUCUGGGACAAGCCCUGGAAACGGGGUCUAAUACCGGAUAUGAGUUCCUUCCGCAUGGUGGGGACUGUAAAGCUCCGGCGGUGCAGGAUGAGCCCGCGGCCUAUCAGCUUGUUGGUGAGGUAACGGCUCACCAAGGCGACGACGGGUAGCCGGCCUGAGAGGGCGACCGGCCACACUGGGACUGAGACACGGCCCAGACUCCUACGGGAGGCAGCAGUGGGGAAUAUUGCACAAUGGGCGAAAGCCUGAUGCAGCGACGCCGCGUGAGGGAUGACGGCCUUCGGGUUGUAAACCUCUUUCAGCAGGGAAGAAGCGAAAGUGACGGUACCUGCAGAAGAAGCGCCGGCUAACUACG
rnacentral:rRNA from 1 species